rnacentral:rRNA from 1 species
AGAUUAAACUGAAGAGUUUGAUCCUGGCUCAGAUUGAACGCUGGCGGCAUGCCUUACACAUGCAAGUCGAACGGCAGCACGGAGCUUGCUCUGG